ensembl:misc_RNA
CUGACAACCCUAGAAGCUGAAGUCCUUUAGUUACCCACACACAAGUCACAGCACAGGCAGUGCCAGCUUCCACCACACUCCUCGCCAGUGUGCCUCCACUCUGAAAUGGGGGAACCACCUCUAGAGUACGAGAUUAGCUCAGAUUCCUUUCUUGUUCAGUCCUUGGCCUCU